rnacentral:tRNA from 2 species
GGAAGGGUGGCUCGAGCUGGUUUAAGGCGUUGCUCUCGAAAAGCAAUGGGGGUGCAAGCUCUCCGCGGGUUCGAAUCCCGCCCCUUCCG